rnacentral:rRNA from 1 species
UACGUAGGGUGCAAGCGUUGUCCGGAUUUAUUGGGCGUAAAGAGCUCGUAGGCGGUCUGUCGCGUCGGAUGUGAAAACCCAGGGCUCAACCCUGGGCCUGCAUUCGAUACGGGCAGACUAGAGUGUGGCAGGGGAGACUGGAAUUCCUGGUGUAGCGGUGAAAUGCGCAGAUAUUAAGUGGAACACCAGUGGCGAAGGCGAGUCCCUGGACAACACCUGACACUGAGGCACGAAAGCUAGGGGAGCAAACAGG